AUGGGAAAGGAAAAGAAGAAGAGGGAAAAAGGAGAAGUAAGACAUGCAUGUGGAAUUUUUGAAGUCUUGGAAGUGAAUCAAGCUUUGAAGUGCUACUCAUAUUCAUCUACUCUCAAAUUACAUGUUGUUGAAUUAAAAAGGUGUGCUGUAGAAGUAGGAGGAUUUACUAUAGGACUUGAAGAGUGGGAGCCUUAA